AAUAAGAUGCCUGAUUAAAGGAUUAUUUUGAUAGAAUAAAUUAAGUAACUCUAAAAUUACUCUUAUUG
rnacentral:tRNA from 1 species